UAAUACGGAGGGUGCAAGCGUUAUCCGGAUUUAUUGGGUUUAAAGGGUCCGUAGGUGGACCAAUAAGUCAGUGGUGAAAUCUUUCGGCUCAACCGGAAAACUGCCAUCGAUACUGUUGGUCUUGAAUAUGUUUGAAGUGGGCGGAAUAUGGCAUGUAGCGGUGAAAUGCAUAGAUAUGCCAUAGAACACCGAUAGCGAAGGCAGCUCACUAAGCCAUAAUUGACGCUAAUGGACGAAAGCGUGGGGAGCGAACAGGAUUAGAUACCCUGGUAGUCCACGCUGUAAACGAUGAUCACUCGAUAUUGGCAACACACAGUCAGUGUCUAAGAGAAAUUGAUAAGUGAUCCACCUGGGGAGUACGAUCGCAAGGUUG
rnacentral:rRNA from 1 species